UACAGAGGUCUCAAGCGUUGUUCGGAUUCAUUGGGCGUAAAGGGUGCGUAGGCGGCGCGGUAAGUCGGGUGUGAAAUCUCGGAGCUUAACUCCGAAACUGCAUUCGAUACUGCGGUGCUUGAGGACUGGAGAGGAGACUGGAAUUCAUGGUGUAGCAGUGAAAUGCGUAGAGAUCAUGAGGAAGACCAGUGGCGAAGGCGGGUCUCUGGACAGCACCUGACGCUGAGGCGCGAAGGCUAGGGGAGCAAACGGG
rnacentral:rRNA from 1 species